ACACAUCGAGCAUGGACAGAUGGCUUUUGUAGGGUUGCUGUGCUUAGUCGAUGCUGUUCUCUACAGCAACUGAUUUUUCUUACAUUGCUUGCAAACAUCUCAAUCCUGACAAACAUGGACCAAAACAAUAUGAUUGCUGAUAGUCCAGCAGACAGAGAUAAGAGGGCGUAUUAAACUUUGAGUGACAACAAUGACAUCAAGAUCGAUGGGUUGACCCCUGACUUUGAUAUUCUCGGUAUGUGAUGCUGGUAAACUGCGUCAUCUUCUUAUUCUUUGUCCGUCCAUUAAAGGUCAAUGUUUUGAUGUUCAUUUUGGAGAUACAAAAGAGACUUUUUGUAGAUAAAUACCUUUGUAGUUUAAAUGAUAAGAUCAUCUGUGAUUGUUAUGGGGAGCAGGGUAGGAAAUUUCCCAACAAAAUUAUCAAUAAGACCACAUUUCCUAUAGAUGGCAUUGAGCGUUAAGUAAGUGGGAGUGAAAGAUAGCUGUGAUAUUACACAAUAUGAGCAGUUGUCCUUACACAGCUGGUUCUGUGGAACUUGUUGCCACAGAAACAAAAUCAUUUAGUGUGGUCAAGUAAAUAGCAAAUAUGUGAAGCAGAUGGCAUGUCUCCAUUUAAAAGGACAGACUCCAGGAAGGCACAAAAUGUAACAUUUUACUAAGUAGCUGUUGUUUUUAUCCAACCCAUGCAGGGUAAUGGACCUGUGUCCCCAAACACAAACUAUAGACUCAUCUGCCAAGUGGACUGAUUCACGAAAGAUACCCAAAAUGGUAGCCCAUUUUCCCUUGUGCUUUCCUGUUCUUAUACGGUCAAAGGCGAUCCUGAGUGAUAUGCCACUCUAUGAAUGAGGCAAUUCUUUAGAAGUAUGACCACAUAAGCCCAAUUUUGGCAUCUUUACACUGGUUACCAGUUAAAUAUCGCAUACAUUUUUAAAUAUUGAUAACCACCUAUAAAGCCUUAAAUGGCCUAGCACCUUCGUAUCUUAAAGAAUUACUAUCAGAAUACAGUCCAUGACAUACACUAUGGUCGCAAGAUUCUGGUCACUUAAUUAUCCCUAAAUAUAUAAAAAAUUGUCUAAAAGUGGUCACUCAUUUUCCUACUUAGCCCCCAAGCUCUGGAAUGAUUAACCAAAAAAAAAAACAUUUGAGAAUCUGACACAGUCGACCAAUUUAUGUCUAAACUAAAGACAUUUCUCUUUAAAAAGCAUUCACUUUAUUUGUCUAGUAAGCACGCAAUAGUUAGCUUAUACGGAACAAAGCAUUCACAUAACUCGUCUGAGUUAUAUACUUAUGCCGCAGUAGUAAGCCUGUCUGAAACCUAGCAGAUAUUAAACCAUAUGCAUCACAUGC